rnacentral:rRNA from 1 species
GAUGAACGCUGGCGGCGUGCCUAAUACAUGCAAGUCGAGCGAACGGAUGAGAAGCUUGCUUCUCUGAUGUUAGCGGCGGACGGGUGAGUAACACGUGGAUAACCUACCUAUAAGACUGGGAUAACUUCGGGAAACCGGAGCUAAUACCGGAUAAUAUUUUGAACCGCAUGGUUCAAAAGUGAAAGACGGUCUUGCUGUCACUUAUAGAUGGAUCCGCGCUGCAUUAGCUAGUUGGUAAGGUAACGGCUUACCAAGGCAACGAUGCAUAGCCGACCUGAGAGGGUGAUCGGCCACACUAGAAGAGAGUCACGCUACAGACGCCUACGGGAGGCAGCAGUAGGGAUUUUGCGACAAUGGUCGAAAGCCUGAAGGAGCACCGCCGCGUGAGUGAUGAAGUUGUUCGGAUCGUAAAACUCUGUUAUUAGUGAAGAACAUAUGUGUAAGUAACUAGGCACAUCUUGACGGUACCUAAGCAGAAAGCCACGGCUAACUACGUG